UUAUAAAUUAUUAAAAAUAAUUAUUAUAAGGUUUGUUUGAGUAUUUUAUAAAGAAAGAAUAAUUUUAAUUAUAGUUAAAUAGUAUUGUGAAAGAAAAUUGAAAUAAUUUGAAAAAUUAAUAUUUUAAAAGAAAAUUUAAUUUAUUGUACCUUGUGUAUCAGGGUUUAUCAAAUAAAAAUUAUUUAUUAUAAUUUUCUCGAUUUUAAAAGAGUUAAUAUAUUAUAAAAGUUAAUGUGACAAAAUUAUUUUGUAUAAUAUAUUGGAAAUGAAAUGUUAUUCGUUUUUAAAGGUAUCUAGUUCUUUAAGAAAUAAAUUUAAUUUAGAAAUUUUAUAUUAUUUAGUUAAAUAUAUUAACUAAAUAAUUAUUUUAUUUUAAUAUUUUGUGGGAUAAGCUGUAAAAUAAAUUAUUAAAAAUUAUUAAAUUAUUUAAUAAAUGUAAGCUUAGAAAUAGCUAUUAUUAAAGAAAUUGUUAUAAUUUAUUUUAUAAUAUUGAUUAUUUAUUUAAUUUUAAUUAUGUAUUAAAGUAUUUAUUUUAAUAAUAAAAAUAAAAAAAUAAUGAUAAAAUUAGUAUAUUAUAUUGUAAAAAUAUGAUAAAUUGAUAAGUUUUUAUAAAGAACUCGGCAAAAAUAAUGUUCGCCUGUUUAACAAAAACAUGUCUUUUUGAAUUUUUUAAAAAGUCUAGCCUGCCCACUGAAUAAUUUAAAUGGCCGCAGUAUAUUAACUGUGCAAAGGUAGCAUAAUCAUUAGUCUUUUAAUUGGAGGCUGGUAUGAAUGGUUGGACGAGAUAUUAACUGUUUCAUUAAAAUUUAUAAUAAAAUUUUAUUUUUUAGUCAAAAAGCUAAAAUAAUAUUAAAAGACGAGAAGACCCUAUAAAUCUUUAUAUAUAAAUUAUUAGAAUUUUGUAGAUUUUUUUUAUUAUAAUAGUUAAUUAUAUUUUAUUGGGGUGAUAUUAAAAUUUAAUAAACUUUUAAUUUUUAAAAUCAUUAAUUUAUGAAUAAUUGAUCCGUUAAUAACGAUUAAAAAAAUAAGUUACUUUAGGGAUAACAGCGUAAUUUUUUUGGAGAGUUCAUAUCGAUAAAAAAGAUUGCGACCUCGAUGUUGGAUUAAGAUAUAAUUUUAGGUGUAGCUGCUUAAAUUUUAAGUCUGUUCGACUUUUAAAUUCUUACAUGAUCUGAGUUCAAACCGGCGUAAGCCAGGUUGGUUUCUAUCUUUAAAAAAUAAAAAUAUUUCAGUACGAAAGGACCUAAUAUUUAAUAAAUAAUUAUUUUAAAAUUGAAUAUAAAUAAUUUAUACUAUUUUGGCAGAUUAGUGCAA
rnacentral:rRNA from 1 species